rnacentral:rRNA from 1 species
GCAAGUCGAACGAAGCCUUCGGGCUUAGUGGCGGACGGGUGAGUAACGCGUGAGAAUCUCCCUUCAGGAUGGGGACAACCGUUGGAAACGACGGCUAAUCCCCAAUGUGCCGAGAGGUGAAAGGGUUUCCGCCUGAAGAAGAGCUCGCGUCCGAUUAGUUAGUUGGUGAGGUAAGAGCUCACCAAGGCAGCGAUCGGUAGCUGGUCUGAGAGGAUGAGCAGCCACACUGGGACUGAGACACGGCCCAGACUCCUACGGGAGGCAGCAGUGGGGAAUUUUCCGCAAUGGGCGAAAGCCUGACGGAGCAACGUCGCGUGUGGGAAGAAGGCUCUUGGGCUGUCAACCACUUUUCUCAGGGAAGAAGUCCUGACGGUACCUGAGGAAUCAGCCUCGGCUAACUCCGUGCCAGCAGCCGCGGUAAUACGGAGGAGGCAAGCGUUAUCCGGAAUUAUUGGGCGUAAAGCGUCCGCAGGGGGCGCAUCAAGUCUGCUGUUAAAGGCUGGAGCUUAACUCCGGUAGAGCAGUGGAAACUGGUGCGCUAGAGGGCGACAGGGGUAGAGGGAAUUCCCAGUGUAGCGGUGAAAUGCGUAGAGAUUGGGAAGAACACCGGUGGCGAAAGCGCUCUACUGGGUCGCACCUGACCCUCAGGGACGAAAGCUAAGGUAGCGAAAGGGAUUAGAUACCCCUGUAGUCUUAGCCGUAAACGAUGGAUACUAGGCGUGGCUUGUAUCGA